CUGCAUGUUUUGGCCCUGGGCUGCUGUUGGCCUCUCUUUCUGUAGAGGGAACAAGUGCAAACAUGCUAGAUUAACACUUCUGGAGUUAACAGGGCCACCAGUCUCUGAAGGCCAGACUGAGUGGUAGUAUAAUACUCCAACACUC